CUUUCUUUAAAUUACAACUGCUCCUUUUGUUUGCCUAAUAUUGAAUUCAAGGGAGUAGCGGAGAGCUGAAGGAGAGUUCCUAAAUGAAUAAUUAUUUAAGAAUAAAUUGGCAAAUAGUAAGCCGGAGCUCCACAGAUCCAGAGAUGUGCGACCCAUGAACACAUCCAUCCACGAGGUGACAGAGGGAGAGUACAGAAUGAAGCAUAUGGAGAAAAAAAACCUACAUGAGCCAGCUUGCUUGGACUCAACUUUACACAAGGAUAAGAUGAAAGCUGUUGUACAAAAAUCCAUAAAUUUCAUACAGUUGUGGCAUCUAAUUAUACUUUAAUAGAUGGUGCCAGACCUGCUCAGCUUUUCCAGCAGCUUUGUUUCUGUACUUGCUGCACCUGCCUGACUACUUCCAUGUAGCACUAACUAGGCCAAUUCCAUUUCCCCAGACUGGUUUCUCAAAUGGUCUUCCACACCCCUAUCUAUUGCUUUCAUAGACCAACAAGCUGCUGGAUUGAGACACUUCUUGGCUGGAUGUCAUCACCUUGGCAGGAACCUUGCUAUUUGAUCCGCAAGUCAUUGCUGUCAGACCAAUCUGAAUGGCUGUGUGUUAUAGCUGUGUCUCCUGAAGUGACUCCUUUAAAAGUACUGAUUAAAA